ensembl:lncRNA
UGUUUUUCUCCAAAUCUUUACAGGAGAACAUACAAUUAAUAUUACUGUGACUUGCUUUUUUGGAAUACUAAAUUAUUAUUUUGUUUUUGUUGCUUUAUUCAUUGUGAAGUUUUGGUAGGACUUUGGUAUUAUACUUAAUUAUUAUUUUGUCUGGUUUUGGUAUUAUUUAUACUGUUGGUUUUGGUUUUAUUGUGAAAUUUUGGUAUUUUUGUUUUGCCAUUAUUUAUACUGUUGCAUUUUUAUUUAUUGUGAAAUAAACAACUAAACUGAGUAAAAAGAAAAAAAAAACUACAACAAAUUCAAUUGAGCUUUAGUUAUAGCCAAUUAAAUAUUUAAUGACUACAAGUUACAUUUAAGAUGUAAAAAAAAACAAAAACCCUGAUUUCUAUUUUUAAUCUUUCCAUUAACUGCAGAAGCCACACACAUGACUGUGUUGCUUUGAAACCUUCCUCUGUUUGUUGCCAGAGAAGACAGCAUUUUUCAAACAGGGCCAACAUGAUUGCUAUGGCAACCAAAUUCAUUUUACAUUCGGUCACGUGAGCAAUCAAAUAAUUAUUUCGGUAUUUCUGUUUUGCCAUUAUUUAUACUGUUGCAUUUUUAUUUAUUGUGAAAUAAACAACUAAACUGUGUUUGGUAUUUAGUAUUGGUGUAUGUGUGUGUGUGUGUGUGGGGGGGGAUGUCAAUAUUUUAAAGUAUUAUAAUAUUUGACCUCAUGCUACUGUAACAAUAUUCUAAUGGCAACAUAUCUACAUUUUUAUUUGAAAAUUAAUUUAAAUAACCUAAUUUUCUAAUCUAGUGUUUUUUUUUUUUUGUGAUGCAGAACCGAAUAAACAAAUGUUGGAAGGAAAGGAGAAAAGACGAAAGGGCAAGAGAAGGAGCCACACACAUGCCUGUGUUGCCUCGAAGCCUUCCUCUGUUUACUGCCAGCAAAGACAGCAUUUUUUAAACAUGGCCAACAUGAUUGCUAUGGCAACAAAAUUAAUUUUACAUCUGGUCACGUGAUUAAUCAAAUAAUUAUCUAAUCAUGACAUUUAGCAUUUAUUUCGGAGGCAACCGUACCCCUG